UACGAAGGGGGCUAGCGUUGCUCGGAAUCACUGGGCGUAAAGCGCACGUAGGCGGAUUGUUAAGUCAGGGGUGAAAUCCUGGAGCUCAACUCCAGAACUGCCUUUGAUACUGGCGAUCUCGAGUCCGGGAGAGGUGAGUGGAACUGCGAGUGUAGAGGUGAAAUUCGUAGAUAUUCGCAAGAACACCAGUGGCGAAGGCGGCUAUCUGGACAGAAACUGACGCUGAGACGCGAAAGCGUGGGGAGCAAACAGG
rnacentral:rRNA from 1 species